GAUCAUGGUAGUUUAAAACCAAACCUCUAGGCCGUGGCCCUAGCAAUAGAAGAACUAAUUCUUUAAGCCUUCUCCAUGACC
rnacentral:tRNA from 1 species